rnacentral:rRNA from 1 species
AGUGAACGCUGGCGGUAGGCCUAACACAUGCAAGUCGAACGGCAGCACAGUAAGAGCUUGCUCUUACGGGUGGCGAGUGGCGGACGGGUGAGGAAUACAUCGGAAUCUACUUUUUCGUGGGGGAUAACGUAGGGAAACUUACGCUAAUACCGCAUACGACCUACGGGUGAAAGCAGGGGAUCUUCGGACCUUGCGCGAGUGAAUGAGCCGAUGUCGGAUUAGCUAGUUGGCGGGGUAAAGGCCCACCAAGGCGACGAUCCGUAGCUGGUCUGAGAGGAUGCUCAGCCCCACUGGAACUGGGCCUCGGUCCAGACUCCUACGGGAGGCAGCAGUGGGGAAUAUUGGCCCAUGGGCGCAAGCCUGCUCCAGCCCUACCGCGUGGGUGAAGAAGGCCUUCGGCUUGUAAAGCCCUUUUGUCGGGAAAGAACAGCAGCCGGUUAAUACCCCGCUGUUCUGACGGUACCCAAAGAAUAAGCACCGGCUAACUUCGUG